UCUGAUGAGUGAGCAAAAGAAGUGGUUUCUUGAAAUGGAAUCUACUCCUGGGGAAGAUACUGUGAA
rnacentral:pre_miRNA from 1 species